AGACAGACACUUCGGCCAAUGAGUGUUGCCACCUUGGCAACACCAAGAUGUUGACACCUCGGCCAAAUUAAUUUAUACUAAUUACUUAUUAAAUUAUAUGAAUGCAAACAGUAUUAUUUUGCCAAGGAAAUCUGUGGCAAUAACUUGAAGGGGUGAAAAUACAAAACAUGGACAAGCUUUCAGGGAAUGGUUUUCACGGACAGGUGAGAUCAGGUCAUUGAUAAGUUGUCCAGCCCUAGUGAUUACAGCCACUGCUAGCAAGGAGGCAAGAAAAGUGAUUAAGAAGCGACUGGCUUUAAACAACUGUGUGGACAUUAUUGACAGUCCUGAUAGAGAGAACAUAAAGUUAUUUGUUCAAAAGUUAAAAAAACACUGUGCCCAUCGAUGAAACAUUUGGCUGGUUGACACAUGAUUUAUCUACGAGAAAAAAAGACUGUCCAAGAACACUUAUUUUUUGUUCAAGCAUAAAAAUUUGUGCAGACAUAUACACUGCAUUUUUAAUGGUGUUAGACAACUCUGUAAUGGAAUUUGUUAAUAUGUUUCAUUCAUGUACAUCUGAAAAUGUUAAGGAAACAAUUAGAGAGGACAUGAAUGAUGAUAAUGGAAAUAUUAGAGUUUUAAUUGCUACUAGUGCUGCAGGUAUGGGAGUGAAUUACAAAGGAGUAAACAAUGUUGUACAUUAUAGUCCUCCUAAAGAUAUGGAUAGCUUUGUUCAGCAGCUUGGUCGUGCUGGCCGUGAUGGUAGUCAGUCCUUACAUCUGCUUCUUUAUAAUAGUAGACAUACUCAUAAACUUGAAGCUGACAUGAAGACAUAUAUUGAAAAUAAAGAUAAGUGUCGUAGACUUCAAAUAUUGGAAUCAUAUGAUUCGCUUCCUAAUGUAGAACUUGUAAAACAUUUAUGUUGUGAUAUAUGUUCCCAAAAUUGUAAUUGCAGUGGUGACUGUUGUGAACUGUAUCAACAUCCAUAUUUUUUAUUUCAAAGUGAUGAUGUUUCUAGUGAUGACAACUCUUGCAUGUCAGAUAGCACAGACUUAGAAAGUGAUGAUGUACUUGAUAUAGAUGAUACAUAUCCAGAGUUGGAGUAAGAAAGCUUUUUUCCAAUGUUUCACUGUUAUAAAAUUUAAAACAAUGUACAUGUAAUAUAAACCAUUUAAAUCUAUG
rnacentral:misc_RNA from 1 species